CUGUUCCUUCGUCUCCCCCUCGAGCGCUCCUCCCCCCCUCCCUGUUCUGUUCGUGCGAGGAAGAAAGCAGCGGGACUCCGCAGGACGCGCCGGGCCCCCGCAGGACGCGCCGGCGGCCGCCUCCACCUCCGCUGAUCGCCGCCGGCUCGGCCUACCGCCGCGCCUCCGCCUCCGCCUACCCGAUUAAGAUCCAUCCGCCAUAUGCAUGGACGGCGCCCCGUUCGAUUUCUUGUCUCAAACGGAAUAGUCUGGUGCUGCUGCGGAGGCCAUGGACGGCGAAGGGUGGGGCUUGACGCCGCCUCAUCUCCGGCGUGAUAGUUCCGGCGGCCGCGUUCCGAGGGCCGGGAACGUCGCCGCACCGCGCAUGGACCUGGGGAACCUUGACCUCAACGCCGACUGCGGCGCCGCCUCGUACCCCGACAUGACCAUGUACACGCAUAUCCUUCAACGGGACAGCGGCUCCGGUCAAGGUUUCCCCCCACAGAGGGCAAGAUCAGAUGGCUUGCCGCUGCGAGGUCGUCCACCUCGCAAGGUCUGUCCGUAGCGAGGGCACCAGGUGCUCGCGGCAAGGCCGUCGUGGUGCCGGGGGGAGGUGAUGCUGCUGCCAUGCGAGUUGCUGCACGUCGUGGGGGUUCAAAUGGCGCGAGCAGCAGCAGGCAGCCGCAGGUAGCGCCGAUUCCGGUGGAUGAUGAUGACGGCAUCGAAGAAGACGAAGAUGAAGAUGAGAACACGCUGAACCAGCAUAGGAAGAAGCCAAAAAGCAAGGCUAAUUGGACCGACGAAAAUACGUACAUUUUGUGUGAGUUAGCUUGUGAGGAGAUAGAGGAUGGCAAUUUUACUGCUAAAGUUUGGACCAGUCAGGGUUACAAAAAUAUUAUGGAGAAAUAUUAUCAAAAGACAAAAUUGUGGCAUCUAGGGAGGGAAGUGAAGAACAAAAUCCAGAACCUGAAGGGUGUGUACAAUGAUUGGGUAUGGUUGCAGCAACAAACCGGAUGCGGCCGCGGCGAACAUGGAGAAGUUACGGCAACUACAGCUUGGUGGGAGAGGGAGAUCAAGAGUAGACCAAAUCUCAAGAAAUUUAGAAAGGGUAACCCUGAGUACAUUGGACUGUUGCAUGAGGUAGCUGUGGAUGGUACUUCUGCUUACGUACCUGGGCGACCAGAGAUCCUGAAUUCAGAGUUGUGCAUGAAAGGUUAAGAAAUGCUCAGUGGCAUCCAUGGUUCAAUGACAGCAUUGGGGCAAUAGAUGGGACUCAUGUGCAAGUUGUGGUGCCACCUACCAAGAUUCCGCAGUACUUAAACAGACAUGGCUACUGUAGUCAGAAUGUUAUGGUUGUAUGUGAUUUCAACAUGAGAUUCACUUUCGUUCUUGCCGGGUGGCCUGGAUCGGUUCAUGAUAUGAGGCCCUUCAAGGAUGCCCUUAGCCGGUUUAGUCACAAGUUUCCUCAUCCACCUCCAGAAAUUUUUUAUCUUGUUGACUCGGGCUACCCCAACAAGGCGGAUUAUCUUGCACCAUAUAGGGGGCAGAAGUACCAUUUCCAAGAGUUCCAUCAAGGCACCAUGCCGAGAGCUGUGUAGGUUUUGCACAACCUCUGCGGCAACAGCGGCCAUGCGGCGGAUAGGACGGUGAGGAGGACGCGCAGAACUCUAGGGAAUUCCGAACUCUAGACGGCGGCGGCGACGAGAGGUCGUGCAGAACUCUAGACUUCCUGUGGGAUUAGACUAGCCACAAUGGGUAGUUGGCAUGUUACUACUCUAUGUUAAUACCUCUAUAGUGGGGAGUAACAUAUUUGUGGUAACAUGCAAUACUUCAUUUAUUAUGCUAUAGACUCAUCUUGCCUUGAUAUGUGCGAUGUUACUCAUACUAGUAGUAACUAGCUAUGUUACUACAUGUCUCUCUUUCUUCAUUUAUUGCUUGCCACAUCAUCUAUUUUAUCUAGAUAUGUGUGAUGUUACCACUGUGGGUAGUCUUAAUAAUGGCCGGUUGGAAAUCAGAAUUAAGGCUUGGCUGGAUAUAAUCGGGGACUAGUGCUUUGAGAUAGGUACUGACACGUGUCGUGAAUCUGAAUGGCGUAGCGAGGCGUACGACCUAGUAGUAUAAGAUUUUUUCCCAUGUUUACGUUGGCGCGCAGGAACGGGCAACGAUCAGGAGUGCUAAUAAAUACACCGAUAUCGAGAUGGGCUCACAGGAUUUGUGACUUGUUGUCGUGUGCAGUAAAGAGAAAGUGAGCGCCAAUUUCUAUUUGACGCUUAUUACGUUAAGAUGUCGUUGUUUCGCACAAGGAACCGAGCGAGGGAAGUUCAGAUGUGCUAACCCAUUUAAGCUAUUAUUAUACAUCCACAAAUAGCGGUUUUGUGAACCUUUCUUUCAUUUCUGAUUUUUUUUCUUUACCUGCUUUUGGUUUCUUUACUUAAAAAAAACAAAAUGUAAGCGUUUAAAAAAUAUUCAUGGUUUUUCUAGAAAAUGUUCAAAAUUUCAAAAACAUGUUGUUUUUCAGAAAUGUUCUCAAAUUUAAAAUAUUGUUCACUUUUAAAACUAUAUAUAUAUAUAUAUGUAAUAAUAUUUUAUAUAUUCAUAUUUUGAAAAUAAAAAAUCAAUCUGAAGUAAGUAAAACAGAAGAAGAAAAUGUGUCGCAACAAGAAGAACGUCUUGCUAUAGGACAAUCAGGCUCGCUCGCUAUGCGUCGACCUAGUCAGGAAGGAUGUCCCGUGCGAAAUAACGACUAUUUGACGCCACUAGCAUCAAAUGGCGUCAAAUAGGAGCACUCAGAGUGGGCGGUGGGGGAGAAAGGAGAGGCGAUGAAGGGAUGGGUUAAGCCUCUUGGCAUACUAUCAUGGUAUGUCCUCCCUCCGCCCCUUAAUAUCAGACGUCUUUGCAUUUGAACUGCAAAAACGUCUUAUAUUAUGGGACAGAGGUAGUAUAUUUUUGGGGUAAUAUUGACUAAAGAUUAUUAGGCUCAAAUCCAAAUCAGAUGAUACGAUGGUAUUUAUUUAAUUUAUACUAAAACCUUCCAAUUAAUGCACGUGGCCAGCGAUGUCUCUCCAGGGAGCUCCUAUUCAGCGACCCGUGCGGUGGAAAUCGAGGAAGCGUGCGCUUUUGGGCCGGCCCAUGUAGGGGGCAGGCGCCACUGUUUAUUUAUUUAUUUUUUCUAUUUUUUUGCUUCUAUAAAAUUGUUUGGGAUUUCGAAAAAAAAUCGAAUUUAAAAAUGUUAGUGAUUUAAAAAAACGUUCGCAAAUUCAAAAAAAUAUGAAUUUAGAAAAUGAAAAAAAAAAUCACAAAUUCAAUAAAUGGUCAUGAAAUUGAAAACAUGUUCAUGAAUAAAUCAAAUGUUUGCACAUAGAAAAAAUGUCUACCC